UGAAUUACCAUAGGGCCAUAAA
rnacentral:miRNA from 1 species